rnacentral:rRNA from 1 species
GACGAACGCUGGCGGCGUGCUUAACACAUGCAAGUCGAACGAUGAAGCCGGAGCUUGCUCUGGUGAAUUAGUGGCGAACGGGUGAGUAACACGUGAGUAACCUGCCCUUGACUCUGGGAUAACUGCGGGAAACUGUAGCUAAUACCGGAUACGACCCUCGGAGGCAUCUCCUGGGGGUGGAAAGAAUUUCGGUCAAGGAUGGACUCGCGGCCUAUCAGCUAGUUGGUGAGGUAAAGGCUCACCAAGGCGACGACGGGUAGCCGGCCUGAGAGGGUGACCGGCCACACUGGGACUGAGACACGGCCCAGCCUCCUACGGGAGGGAGAAGUGGGGAGUAUUGCACAAUGGGCGCAAGCCUGAUGCAGCAACGCCGCGUGAGGGAUGACGGCCUUCGGGUUGUAAACCUCUUUUAGCAGGGAAGAAGCGAAAGUGACGGUACCUGCAGAAAAAGCACCGGCUAACUACGUGCCAGCAGCCGCCGUAA